rnacentral:lncRNA from 1 species
AUUUACCCCGGUGUAACACUGCCAUUGACCACCCCAUGACCACCAUUGGCCACCUGCCUACAACCCUAACGCCGCCGCUGGAAAUCUCCUCACGGCGGCGUCCGAUCACCAAACCUCACCAAAUUUACACCGCCAAACCAUCACAACCUCCUCUUUCCCACCCUUUGAUUAGUUUCCGUCGAAUAAACCCCCUUUGUCUCGAAUAUUCGAAAACAAGGUCGUCGGAACCACCGUCUCCGGCGAUCCUGUUCUAAACCCCUCUAGCUUUACACCAUAGAACCACUAGGACCUCCCCUUCCCAGUCCUGCACUCCAACCCCUUCAAAUGCUCCCCAUCGGCUCAAAUAUUCACAGAAAGGUCGUCAGAACCCCCAUCUCCAGUGACCCAACUCCAAAACCCUCCAAACUUAUACCCCUGAAACAACUCAAUCUUCCCUUUCCAACCAUAUGUGUCACACCUCUCGAAUCUGCCUGAAAUGUGUCGAAUAUUAGUUUGAAAUUCAACCCUAUAACUCAAACCCUGUUAGAACUUGGUCAAACUCCUCCCAGGAAACCCUUAGACUUUCUCCUCCCCAACCAUGCCACCCACGAUUCCCAAAAAACCCCAAUCACUGAAGGAAUCCAGAUCUGAGACCUCAUUGGGGUCUCAGAAUCACAAAGCCCUUUCCUAAACUCUAAACUGGUUAUACAUCAUGCCAGUUAUCCUAGGAGGUUUGAAACCCCAGUGGAAGGAGUCAAGAACCAAUGAAAUGGUCUAGAGUGGACGUGCAUAAAAAAGCUAAGUAUUCUGUAUAUUUUCUUCAUUUCUUUAGCUUUUAGAUGUUUGAUUUCCUUUUAAUAAUUGUUUGUUUGUCCACAAUUUCAUAUGAAAUAGGUUCAGUAGUUAUAUUCCUAUUAGUGUGAAGUCCCAUCGUUUUGAUUUCUUUUGAAUAGAUGUUUGUUUGUCCACAACCUCAUAUGAAAUGGAUUUAGUAGUUAUACGCCUUUGUUUGUUAUUAGUUUGAAACCUCUUCGUUUCUUGAAUAAUUUGACACCCUGUUAAUACUAGCUUCUUUAUCAGUGUAAUUCUCAUAGUUUGUGACCUUCAUCUCCUGAUCUUUAUUUGCUUUGUUCCCUUAUAUUCUGAUCAGCUUGGUUAGUUGUUUAGGCUACCAAGCGUUUGAUUCUUAUAGUAUUGUUGAUCUUUAGUACUGGCAUAGUUUAGGCUGAUUUAUGUGGUUGAAUCUCUAAUUCCUUUCUAAUUUUUCAAUCCCAGUUUCAAGCUUUAUUUGAGUGAUUUAAUUAGGAUUUUCUUAUAGUGAGUACUAGUUGAUUGGUCUUCUGGUUGACAGUGAUCCAUUGGUCUUAACACAAAGACACUUGAAUUUUUACGAUCCUAAGUUAAAUAACUGAUAAACCCAAUCCAUAUUAGGACACCUAGUUGUAUGGAUCCAAUGGACCUGCUAGUCCAAGACCAAACCUUGGCCCAUAACCCAAAUACAAUUGACCAGGGUCAAGUGGACCUGCUAGUCCAAGACCAAACCUUGGCCCAUAACCCAAAUACAACUGACCAGGGUCAAGGAACAGUUGAGGUUAAAAACUUCAGAUGGAUAAUUUAGGAAAGGAAGUAGGGGUAUAAUAGGGAUUUGAACCUUGAAAAAUCUGAUAAUAACCUCCAGAACCUUCUAGUGAGGGGAUAAAACACAAUUUCUGCCUCAAACUUGAGGCACAAGUCAGGAAAUGAAGGACCAUUUAGGAAAAGUGAAAAUCUGAAGCAAGGACUAAAAGAAAAACAAGAGAAGUUGAUGUCGUAAGGCUCCACUAUAAAAGAAACCACCUGAGCAUUUUUUAGGGGAUCCGGAACCUUUCCUUCAAAUCCCAGAGAUAAAAAUACAUAUUUGUUCUUCUGAUAUCUAUGAAAAACUAUCAAGUGCUGUUUUGAUCAUUUUUGAAGACUUAAGUCUCUAAAAAACUCUGCUGAAGUCCUGUAUGCGCUGUUUGAUUGGCUACUGAUUGCUUAGCUGAUUCAUUACAUUUACUCAUAGGCGUUUCUUUCUGCUGAAUUACAGGUACCUUCACUGUUCAUUGAUGUAUUGAAGCUCAAGUAAAAUGUAUUCUUAGUAUGAAGAUCUGCUUCUAUUUUUAUUUUUAGUUUUGAAUCCCCACCCUAUUCUUCCCCUCCUUUAGUGUUAAUAUACUCACCU